rnacentral:lncRNA from 1 species
AUGUUUGCCAACAAACAGCGCCAGGGCAGGGGGCAAACGACAGCGACCACAAGUGGACGCCCUGGACGGAGGUCCGCUCACCUGGGCGAGGCUCCAGCCUGGGAAAGCAGAACCCUUUCUCCGCCCCGCCCGAGGACUCGCACAGGUGCAGCGCCAAGGCUACCAGAGGACAGAGGGGGCCGCCCACCCACUCUUUUCGCCCCAGAUGACCCUAGCACCCGGGAAAGCUUCCCUCAGCGGGUAUCGCUCCUUCUUUCCCGGAGACAAGGGAGCAACGAAACCGCCACUCACGUCUCCGGCCGCGCCACCCGUCCGCAACCAGGCACGCAGGUGACAACAUUGAUUCCAUGGAGAAAGAAGACUUCCAAAUUUGUGAUAUUGUAUCUCGGAAUCUCUUUCUGAAAACUGUUUGAAGAACUCUUUUUAAGCUCCCAAUAGCAUUACAGUAGAGAGAAAGAGGACUAACCCCAAAUACUGCUCCCAG